rnacentral:rRNA from 1 species
UACGUAGGUGGCAAGCGUUGUCCGGAAUUACUGGGCGUAAAGAGCUCGUAGGUGGUUUGUCGCGUUGUUCGUGAAAUCUCACGGCUUAACUGUGAGCGUGCGGGCGAUACGGGCAGACUGGAGUACUGCAGGGGAGACUGGAAUUCCUGGUGUAGCGGUGGAAUGCGCAGAUAUCAGGAGGAACACCGGUGGCGAAGGCGGGUCUCUGGGCAGUAACUGACGCUGAGGAGCGAAAGCGUGGGGAGCGAACAGG